rnacentral:rRNA from 1 species
UCGAGAAUUUUUCACAAUGGGGGAAACCCUGAUGGAGCGACGCCGCGUGGAGGAUGAAGGCCCUCGGGUCGUAAACUCCUGUCAUGCGGGAACAAGAAAGUGAUAGUACCGCAAGAGGAAGAGACGGCUAACUCUGUGCCAGCAGCCGCGGUAAUACAGAGGUCUCAAGCGUUGUUCGGAUUCAUUGGGCGUAAAGGGUGCGUAGGUGGCGAUGUAAGUCUAACGUGAAAUCUCGGGGCUCAACCCCGAAAUUGCGUCGGAUACUGCGUUGCUAGAGGAUUGUAGAGGAGAGUGGAAUUCACGGUGUAGCAGUGAAAUGCGUAGAUAUCGUGAGGAAGACCAGUUGCGAAGGCGACUCUCUGGGCAACUCCUGACACUGAGGCACGAAGGCUAGGGGAGCAAACG